AUGCCUUUUGAAGUUCAUCAAGAUUCUAAUUGGUGGUUUGCUAGAGUACCACUCAUGCAAUUUUGGAUUGUGGAGUUCCACUAUCCAUAUAGGGUGAUGCGACAAUUUGGAUUAAGACAACCCAUUCCCCCUUCUCUUCCACGUGGCGAGGCAGAGGUUCAAAAACUUCGAAAAAUUAAACAUUCUGCAGGAAAAUUGCAUAAUUGGGAGGAAGUCCACGCCAAUUAUGUUCAAGAAUACAACCGUGUUGGUGCAAGAGUGUGGCCAGACGAUGUUCCCUUCGAUGAAGCUAGUUUACCUGAUUACAGAGAUUGGUUCCAACAAAAUGGUAUGUACACAGUAUUCUUCGAUUCUCAAUGCUUGGGCGGCCUAGAUAAACCUAUCCCAUAUCCUCGAGAUAGCAUCGAAUGGACUGGCUACAUGCCUAGUGACCGCCACUGGCUCGAAUUGGGUUACGCGAGAUAA
rnacentral:rRNA from 1 species